GAUGAACGCUGGCGGCGUGCCUAAUACAUGCAAGUCGAGCGAACAGACGAGGAGCUUGCUCCUCUGACGUUAGCGGCGGACGGGUGAGUAGCACGUGGAUAACCUACCUAUAAGACUGGGAUAACUUCGGGAAACCGGAGCUAAUACCGGAUAAUAUAUUGAACCGCAUGGUUCAAUAGUGAAAGACGGUUUUGCUGUCACUUAUAGAUGGAUCCGCGCCGCAUUAGCUAGUUGGUAAGGUAACGGCUUACCAAGGCAACGAUGCGUAGCCGACCUGAGAGGGUGAUCGGCCAACAUUGAACUUAGACACGGUCCAGACUCCUACGGGAGGCAGCAGGAGGGAAUCUUCCGCAAUGGGCGAAAGCCUGACGGAGCAACGCCGCGUGAGUGAUGAAGGUCUUCGGAUCGUAAAACUCUGUUAUUAGGGAAGAACAAAUGUGUAAGUAACUAUGCACGUCUUGACGGUACCUAAUCAGAAAGCCACGGCUAACUACGUG
rnacentral:rRNA from 1 species